GAUCCACAUGCAACAGCAUUGAUUUGGUUCAUUGGUUCGUGCUGGGAAGCUCAGACAUCCUGCAGGGAUAUUAACACAAUGUUGUUGGGGAAUCUGAUAAUUGGAGACAGCAUCUCAGAGGAUGGAGAGCCAAAAAUCACAGUCUGAGAAACCUGAUCCAGACCUUUCACAGUCCUUAGGAACAUAUUUAUCAUGUUACGAGCAUGAAGAAAUGAAAAGAGAUGGCAGUCGUCCUGACAGUGAGACAGAGGAGAACAAGGACUCAUCAUCUCAGAUUGUCACAUGUGCCCAUGCAGAUUCAGCUCCCGACCUGCAGUGGUUCCCAGAGGGACGGUUCGUCUGGCUUGUUGUCCUGGCAGCCACCUGGUGCAAUGGAUCAAUCUUUGGGAUUCAGAAGUCUUUUGGAAUCAUACAUAUGAUGCUUGUUAAAGCUCACGAGGACUCAAAUAAUGAAGUUUCUCAGUUUGCAAUAGCCUGGGUUGGUGCUCUGGCCAUGGGUAUGGUCUUUCUCUGCUCCCCCCUGGUCAGUAUUGUCACUGAUCACGUUGGCUGCAGGGUGACGGCCAUUUGUGGGGCCCUUGUGGCUUUCCUGGGACUUCUGACAAGUUCAUUCACCAUGUCGUUAGGUUUGUGGUACUUCACCUAUGGGGUUCUGUUUGGCUGUGGCUCCUCCUUUGUCUUCUUGCCUUCUCUGGUGACCCUGGGACACUAUUUCCCUCAGCGCCUCGGCCUGGUCAACGGGGUGGUGAUGGCAGGCAGCAGUGUUUUCUCCAUAAGCCUGCCUGCCGUGCUGGAGGAGGUGGGGACACCGCUGGGCCUCAGCACCACCUUUCAGAUCCUCAGUGCCCUCAUGCUAAUCCAGGCAGCCCUGGCAUUCUCCUUCUGCUCACGCCUUUACCACAGGAAUUUGUCCACUAACACGGCCCAGCUUUCAUCUGCCAACCUGAGCAGUGGCUGGCAGCAGGGCCUGACACAGACCAGGAGGUACUGCAACCUGGGAGUGUUUCACCUCCCUAAUUACAGGGUGUGGGCUUUUGGGGUGGCUACGGCUAUGCUGGGCAACUUUGUGCCCUACAUUUACCUGAUGAGUUUUGUGGAGGAGCAGUUUGUGGAGACGCCAGUGAAGGAGUGGGUCCUCCUGGUGUGUAUCGGGGUGACCUCCUGCGUAGGACGCCUGCUGUUUGGCAGGGUGGGAGACCUGCUCCAUGGGGCAUGCAAGAUCUACCUUCAGGCAGGCUCCUUCAUGGUGCUUGGCAUGGCGUCUAUGCUGGUCCCUCUGUGUGUCAGGUUUGAGGGGCUGGUUGCAGUGUGUCUACUGCUAGGGCUGUGUGACGGCUGCGUCAUCACCCUCAUGGCCCCUGUGACAUUUGAACUGGUGGGCCCCCAGAGAGCCUCCCAGGCCAUCGGCUACCUGUUGGGCCUAAUGGCCCUCCCCAUGACCGCCGGACCCCCCCUCGCAGGGCUACUCCAUGACCACUUUGGAGAUUACCACAUGGCCUUCUACCUGGCUGGGGUUCCUCCCUUGGUCGGCGGUGUCCUACUCUUCUUUGUCCCGAAUAUUCAUCAAUGCCUGCUGGAGGGCCAGCAAGAAACCCUCCCCAGACCCAGCCCCGACCUCCAUCUAUCACCCCUGGCUCGGACUAACAUUCCCCUCCCAUCCCUGGUCACCAGCUCCCCCCCAACCAGCCCCGACCUCCAGCUAUCCCCCCCUGGCUCGGACUAACAGUCCCCUCCCAUCCCUGGUCACCAGCUCCCCCCCCAACCAGCCCUGACUAAUAGUCCCCUCCCAUCCCUGGUCACCAGCUCCCCCCCAACCAGCCCUGACUAAUAGUCCCCUCCCAUCCCUGGUCACCAGCUCCCCCAACCAGCCCUGACUAAUAGUCCCCUCCCAUCCCUGGUCACCAGCUCCCCCAACCAGCCCUGACUAAUAGUCCCCUCCCAUCCCUGGUCACCAGCUCCCCCAACCAGCCCUGACUAAUAGUCCCCUCCCAUCCCUGGUCACCAGCUCCCCCAACCAGCCCUGACUAAUAGUCCCCUCCCAUCCCUGGUCACCAGCUCCCCCAACCAGCCCUGACUAAUAGUCCCCUCCUAUCCCUGGUCACCAGCUCCCCCAACCAGCCCUGACUAAUAGUCCCCUCCCAUCCCUGGUCACCAGCUCCCCCAACCAGCCCUGACUAAUAGUCCCCUCCCAUCCCUGGUCACCAGCUCCCCCAACCAGCCCUGACUAAUAGUCCCCUCCCAUCCCUGGUCAUCAGCUCCCCCAACCAGCCCUGACUAAUAGUCCCCUCCCAUCCCUGGUCAUCAGCUCCCCCAACCAGCCCUGACUAAUAGUCCCCUCCCAUCCCUGGUCACCAGCUCCCCCAACCAGCCCUGACUAAUAGUCCCCUCCCAUCCCUGGUCAUCAGCUCCCCCAACCAGCCCUGACUAAUAGUCCCCUCCCAUCCCUGGUCACCAGCUCCCCCCAACCAGCCCUGACUAAUAGUCCCCUCCCAUCCCUGGUCAUCACCAUCGCUGCCACAACUCAAGAAUGUUGCCAACAGUAACCAAGUGAGAGGCCACUGCGGUGAAGACACUGACAAGUCAGAGAUCCCAUAAGAUUUACCACUCUGUCUCCUGUUCCACAUCUCACCACCCAACUACCUUACUCUGGAUUUUACUCACCGGCCACUACCUUGGAUUCCCCUCAGGACCUGUUUACCCUGUUCUACUCAGCCAACUCCAACCUCAGUCUCCACAUCUCACCACCACUACCUUGGAUUCCCCUCAGGACCUGUUCACCCUGUUCUACUCAG